rnacentral:rRNA from 1 species
AUUGAACGCUGGCGGAAUGCUUUACACAUGCAAGUCGAGCGGCAGCGCGGCCUUCGGGCUGGCGGCGAGCGGCGAACGGGUGAGUAAUGCAUCGGAACAUGCCCAGUCGUGGGGGAUAACACUUCGAAAGAAGUGCUAAUACCGCAUACGUCCUGAGGGGGAAAGCGGGGGAUCGCAAGAACUCGCGCGAUUGGAGUGGCCGAUGUCAGAUUAGCUAGUUGGUGGGGUAAAGGCCUACCAAGGCGACGAUCGGUAGCUGGUCUGAGAGGGUGAUCAGCCACACUGGGACUUAACCACGGCCCAUACUCCUACGGUAGGCAGCAGUGGGCAAUUUUGGACAAUGGGGGCAACCCUUAUCCAGCCAUUCCGCGUGAGUUAAGACGGCCUUCGGGUUGUAAAGCUCUUCCGGCGGGAACGAAACGGUGGGCUCUAACAUAGUCCGUUAAUGACGGUACCUGAAGAAGAAGCACCGGCUAACUACGUG